rnacentral:lncRNA from 1 species
CAGACAUUUAGCUAUCGAGUGCUUAUAAUGUUAUAUAUACAGUAUAAGUUAUAACAGUAUCGCCUGAAUGUUGUAACGCUUGUAAGUUUCAUUCGGUAAUUUCAGUUUAUUUUGUAUUCUGACGACAGGAGUGACAGUGACCGCCAUUAAGAGCCCUUCAGUAAAUUUGUUACGAAAUAAGCCAGUCACACAGUAGCGCUCUGUGAACAUUUGCAGGGUCACGUUAGCUGGCCGGGUGGCUGCAGCAUAGCUGCACAGCCAGCGAGCGACAUAACCGAUGGUGAAGCCCGCCUCGCUAGUACUACGGGCAAAGAUUCAUGAUUUUUGCCAGCGCGGGACCGCUUUUGUGAGGAGGAUUGAAGAGCGAGUGAGAGAUGUGAAUGGAAGCGGGAACGCGAAUGUCCCUCCCUCUCCCUGCUCCCCUGUCACUCACUGCUCAGUCCAUCAGCCCGGGUUCGCUUACACAUCUCCGAACCCGCAGUCACUGCAAGACAAGACUGUAGAAACAAGCAGAAGGAAAAUUCCAGUCAUCACAUCUUGUCAUCUCAUCUGUGAAGAAGCCCAACAGAAGCAAGGAAAAUAGUACACAGAGGAACACGCUGAAAUUACAGAAAGUGUAAAGUGCUGGACAGUAUUGUUUUUUUUUUUUUUUUUUUUUCUGUACCAUUAUUUCACACAAAUUAAAGACUGCUUUAUCUUCAAGGAGUACAAAUUAAACUUUUAUUCCAGUUAUGGAUAUCAGUUGAAUGGGAGAAAGACUUUCUAAGUUACUGCCAAAACUACAGCUUUGUAAGAAACAUUACAUGUAAGCCAGCCGUUUCAGAAGCUAACCACCUCACCUUAACACAAGAAGUUUAACAUGGGCAUCACGUCAACAGCAUUUGUUUAAGAAUACUUACCUGUACAAAACAAAUAUUUUAUGUGAUACUGACCUGUGACAUAACCAUGUGAAUUACACCAUGGAGAACUGAAAUAAAAGGGAUAUCCGGCAAAUUGAAGGAAGGAAA